AUGCUUAAAUGGAAACAUUUUAGAAGCUUGUGUGAAUAUGGGUGAAUAUUGCAUGUUGUAUAAAGCACUUUUAGUGCUCCACGAGAGUAGAAAAACGCUAUAUAAGAGUCAUUUCGUUUACCAUUUAACAACAGGCUGUGUUUGACUAAUUUGUGCCAAAUAUUUUUUUUAUUAAUUUCAGGUGCGGAAACUUGAGGCUAUAGGCUACAAGCCCAUUUUAUUUAUUGGCAAAAAAGACAAGGAUUCACAUAAGUGGGUAGCAGAUGUUAUUACCCAUUUGGACCCCACUUCUACUACAAGAAAUUUCCUGGAGAAGAUGCAGAGGGCAUAUGAAUUUAUACUGUCUAAGGGAACAUCCACACCAGUGCAACCCAAUACCCCCACAGAACAGCAGGUUGUGCAGUCCAAGAAUGCCACCAAGGAGCAUUGUGCCGACAAACAGACCCACAUCAAAGAGCACGCAGAGAUCCCCAGUGAAGAACAGGCAGAGACCCUGAUCAACAAGCAAGCAGAGAGCCUCGCCAAGGAGCAGCCAGAGAUGACCACCCAGGAACAUCAAGCUUCUAGGCUCCUCGAGGAGCAGCCAAAGAGCCUGUCAGACGAGCAGACAGAGACUGAUUUUGUUCUCAAUCUUGUUCCUUUAUCUCCUUCUUCUGUUCCAUGCUCCCAGUCUUUCCAACAAAGAAGAGAGACAGAAGCACCUCACAAACAACCUCUCCCACCUCUCCACCAACUUUUAAACCCACAGACCAGCCAUCUCUGCAGUCUCUUCAUCCACCUGCUAGCCACGCAAUCUCCCAGUCCUCAAGUCUGGAUGGCCAACAUGAAAAUAAGAAGAGAAAGAGCUGUCGAAGAUGUAGUAGGCAGAAGGUGUUCCAGUUUGAAGCAGUCACUGAGAGCAGGAUAAAUGAGGCAAUACUUAAAAUGUUGCUUUUCAGUAGACUUUUUACAGUAAGCCUAUCUCAAGUUGUUUUCAUACAUGCACUACAGCCAUGAACUGUGCUACACUGGGAAAUUCAAAUGUACUUUUGAGAUUAGUGAAGGGA
rnacentral:lncRNA from 1 species